GGCCGGCUGGCGCAAUGGUAGCGCGUCAGACUUCUAAUCAGUUUUCGUGUGAUGCGAAGCGGAUCAGUUGUUCAUCUGAAGGCUGCGGGUUCGAGCCCCGCGCUGGUCA